GGACUGUAGCUCAGUCGGUAGAGCAAUGGACUGAAAAUCCAUGUGUCGGCGGUUCGAUUCCGCCCGGUCC
rnacentral:tRNA from 1 species